rnacentral:rRNA from 1 species
GACGAACGCUGGCGGCGUGCUUAACACAUGCAAGUCGAACGGUAAGGCCUUUCGGGGUACACGAGUGGCGAACGGGUGAGUAACACGUGGGUGAUCUGCCCUGCACUUUGGGAUAAGCCUGGGAAACUGGGUCUAAUACCGAAUAUGACCAUGGACUUCACGGUUUGUGGUGGAAAGCUUUUGCGGUGUGGGAUGGGCCCGCGGCCUAUCAGCUUGUUGGUGGGGUAAUGGCCUACCAAGGCGACGACGGGUAGCCGGCCUGAGAGGGUGACCGGCCACACUGGGACUGAGAUACGGCCCAGACUCCUACGGGAGGCAGCAGUGGGGAAUAUUGCACAAUGGGCGCAAGCCUGAUGCAGCGACGCCGCGUGAGGGAUGACGGCCUUAGGGUUGUAAAGCUCUUUCACCGGUGAAGAUAAUGACGGUAACCGGAGAAGAAGCCCCGGCUAACUUCGUGCCAGCCGCCGCCAUAAAAC